GAUGAACGCUAGCGGGAGGCCUAACACAUGCAAGCCGAGCGGUAGAGUUUCUUCGGAAACUUGAGAGCGGCGCACGGGUGCGUAACACGUGUGCAACCUACCUUUAACUGGGGGAUAGCCUUUCGAAAGGAAGAUUAAUACCCCAUAAUAUAAUGAUUGGCAUCAAUUAUUAUUGAAAACUCCGGUGGAUAGAGAUGGGCACGCGCAAGAUUAGAUAGUUGGUGAGGUAACGGCUCACCAAGUCAAUGAUCUUUAGGGGUCCUGAGAGGGAGAUCCCCCACACUGGUACUGAGACACGGACCAGACUCCUACGGGAGGCAGCAGUGAGGAAUAUUGGACAAUGGGUGAGAGCCUGAUCCAGCCAUCCCGCGUGAAGGAUGACGGUCCUAUGGAUUGUAAACUUCUUUUGUACAGGGAUAAACCUACCCUCGUGAGGGUAGCUGAAGGUACUGUACGAAUAAGCACCGGCUAACUCCGUG
rnacentral:rRNA from 1 species